rnacentral:RNase_P_RNA from 1 species
CGAGUCGGCGGGGCGGCCGCGAGCCGGGAGACCGGUUCGAGGAAAGUCCGGACUCCACAGGGCAGGGUGGUUGUUAACGGCAACCCGGGGCGACCCGCGGGACAGUGCCACAGAAAACAGACCGCCUCCGUUCGCUUCGCGGGCGGAGGUAAGGGUGAAACGGUGGUGUAAGAGACCACCAGCGUCCUGGGUGACCAGGACGGCUAGGUAAACCCCACCCGGAGCAAGGUCAAGAGGGAGCCGCGAGGCUCCUGCGCAGGCGCGAUCGAGGGCUGCCCGCCCGAGCCUGCGGGUAGGCCGCUCGAGCCCGUCGGCGACGGCGGGCCUAGAUGGAUGGCCGCCACUCGCUCAGCCGCAAGGCGAGGCGAGGACAGGAUCCGGCUUACACGCCGGCUCGUCCG